rnacentral:misc_RNA from 1 species
UUUCCGUUGGUGAACCAGCGGAAGGAUCAUUACAGAGAUCAUGCCCCUCGUGGGUAGACCUCCCACCCUGUGUUAUUACGAUUGUUGCUUUGGCAGGCCGCCUUCGGGCACUCGGCUCCGGCUGGUAAGCGCCUGCCAGAGGAAAUUCAACUCUGAAUUUAAGUGUUGUCUGAGUAAAAACAUAAUAUUUAAAACUUUCAACAACGGAUCUCUUGGCUCUGGCAUCGAUGAAGAACGCAGC